ACAUGCUUGCAACAUAGCAUUAAUGCACCAGAUCCCAUUAGAACUCCAUAGUUAAGCGUGCUUAGGCUAGAGUAGAACUGGGAUGAGUGACUACCCGGGAAGUCCUAGUGUUUUACAUGCC
rnacentral:rRNA from 1 species